UAAAAUUUAUUUUAAAUUAUUGUAUGAACUAUGCUAUUUGAAUAGCAAGUAAAUCUAUUGAGCCAACUGUGAUUUGCCUUUUCUUUUACCUACAACACUAAAUUGCCCCUCUUCUUCCUCGGCAAAAUAUAUGCCGGUUCUGUAGCAAUGGUCGCGAGAAGGACCAUGCACUCCAUCAUGAGCACUGACAGUGCCCUUGGCGACGAAACAACGCGAUCUGCUUCAUCAACCAACAACCAGAUAACGAACACUAUGUUCUAAAAAGUGCAGAGCCAUGUGUCUCAAAUCUGAAACACGGUGGAAGAUUUAGGAGGAGGCUUGUAGUCUCUAAAAACAUACUCUGAUGCAUAUCUGUAAUCGAAGAAGCCAAUAACAUGUGGUCAUCUGAAGUUUACUUGAAAAUGAAGGCUAAUCAUCCAUUUCAAUAAAGGGAGCGAUUGUACCCACCUGAGCUACAUCGUCAGGGAUCAGCU